rnacentral:tRNA from 1 species
GUCGGCGUGGUGUAGGUGGUAGCACAGGGGCCUGUGGAGCCCCAGGCCUGGGUUCGAAUCCCAGCGCCGACC